AUGGCGGCAACGACGGCGCAGCAGAAGACGGCGACGGUGGAGCAGGAGGAGGGGGAGCACGGUCCCUUCACCAUUGAGCAGCUCCAGGCAUCUGGAAUAGCUACAUUAGAUGUGAAAAAGCUCAAAGAUGUCGGUCUUUACAUAGUAGAAUAUGUGGCUUACACUCCAAGGAGAGAUCUUUUGCAAAUCAAAGGAAUCGCAUCCAAGCUUGUUCCGCUGGGAUUUACAAGUGCGAGCCAACUACAUGCACAGAGGCUAGAGAUCAUUCAAGUUACAACUGGAUCAAGGGAGCUUGAUAAGAUCUUGGAUGGUAAUUUGUGUCACACUCUGUGUGUUACAUGUCAGCUUCUAUUGGACCAAGGUGGUGGUGAACGAAAGGCUCUCUACAUUGACGCAGAGGGGACAUUCAGACCUCAGAGGCUCCUCCAGAUAGCAGACAGGUUUGGAUUGGACAGUGCUGAUGUAUUAGAGAAUAUGGCUUAUGCCAGAGCUUACAAUAUCGAUCAUCAAUCCAGGCUUCUGCUAGAGGUAGCUUCCAUGAUGAUAGAGACGAGGCAACUUGUGUGUGUGUCACUGAUUUCUUAUUCAUUGUUUUGCAUAUGGGCUUGUGGCUUGUCUAUAUGCAUCUAUACUCAAAUGUUACAUCAACCAAUAAAACAACCAGGGAUGUUUAUGUACAUGCUUUCCAGGAAUGCGAGUUAUCGUACAUUGACUGAUAGGUUUCAGCAUAGUCCGGAAACGGUGCAUAGACAUAUCAAUGGAUGCUUCAAGGCUUGA
rnacentral:rRNA from 1 species